GACGGAGGAUGCAAGUGUUAUCCGGAAUCACUGGGCGUAAAGCGUCUGUAGGUGGUCAAAUAAGUCAACUGUUAAAUCUUGAGGCUCAACCUCAAAAUCGCAGUCGAAACUAUUCGACUAGAGUAUAGUAGGGGUAAAGGGAAUUUCCAGUGGAGCGGUGAAAUGCGUAGAGAUUGGAAAGAACACCGGUGGCGAAGGCGGUGGUCUGGGCCGUUACUGACGCUGAGGAGCGAAAGCCAGGGGAGCAAACGGG
rnacentral:rRNA from 1 species